GCACCACAACAGGUGGAGCCUGCGGUUUAAUCGGACGUCAACGCCGGGAAACUCACCAGAUAAGACAGCUGAAUGAUAGUCGGGCUGAAGACUCUACUUGACUAGCUGAGAGGAGGUGCAUGGCCGUCGUCAGUUCGUACUGUGAAGCAUCCUGUUAAGUCAGGCAACGAGCGAGACCCACGCCAACAGUUGCCAGCUCGUCCUCCGGGAUGGUGGGGACACUGUUGGGACCGCCUCUGCUAAAGAGGAGGAAGGAAUGGGCAACGGUAGGUCAGCAUGCCCCGAAUUAUCUGGGCUACACGCGGGCUACAAUGGGUGGGACAAUGGGUAUCGACACCGAAAGGUGAAGGCAAUCUCCUAAACCCAUCCGUAGUUCGGAUUGUGGGCUGCAACUCGCCCACAUGAAGCUGGAAUCUGUAGUAAUCGUGUCUCAAAAUGGCACGGUGAAUAUGUCCCUGCUCCUU
rnacentral:rRNA from 1 species